rnacentral:rRNA from 1 species
AUUGAACGCUGGCGGCAGGCCUAAUACAUGCAAGUCGAGCGGAUGAAGGGAGCUUGCUCCUCGAUUCAGCGGUGGCCGGGUGAGUAAUGCCUAGGAAUCUGCAUGGUAGUGGGGGAUAACGUCCGGAAACGGGCGCUAAUACCGCAUACGUCCUGAGGGAGAAAGUGGGGGUUCUUCGGACCUAACGCUAUCAGAUGAGCCUAGGUCGGAUUAGCUAGUUGGUGGGGUAAAGGCCUACCAAGGCGACGAUCCGUAACUGGUCUGAGAGGAUGACCAGUCACACUGGAACUGAGACACGGUCCAGACUCCUACGGGAGGCAGCAGUGGGGAAUCUUGGACAAUGGGCGAAAGCCUGAUGCAGCCAUGCCGCGUGAGUGAAGAAGGUCUUCGGAUUGUAAAGCACUUUAAGUUGGGAGGAAGGGCAGUAAGUUAAAACCUUACGAUAUUGACGUUACCUACAGAGUAAGCACCGGCUAACCACGUG